AUUUUUAUUUGUUGUGUAGGCGUUGACCCCUCCCCUUCCUCUCUUCCCUCCUAAUGCUGCUCCAGUCCUCCCUAGUCUCCUAACCUCAGCUGCUCUGGGCUACUCCUCAAGUCAAAAUAAAGACCCUAACCUUUGUAUUGUGGAUGGUGAUGACAAUGGUAACAAGAAGUCCAUGGUCCCUCCAGUAGCCACUGUCACCAAGACGCCAGUACCAAAGACCGAAGCUCCUUCUCUUGCUGAACUACAAGCUAAACUGAAAGGAUCAAAUGAUAAGAGAGAA